rnacentral:rRNA from 1 species
UACGUAGGGUGCAAGCGUUGUCCGGAAUUAUUGGGCGUAAAGAGCUUGUAGGCGGUUUGUCGCGUCUGCUGUGAAAAUCCGGGGCUCAACCCCGGACUUGCAGUGGGUACGGGCAGACUAGAGUGUGGUAGGGGAGACUGGAAGUUCCGUGGUGUAGCGGUGAAAUGCGCAGAUAUCAGGAGGAACACCCAAUGGGCGAAGGCAGCUCGCUGG